GAAAUGAAUGAGAGCAUUCCGCAGUGAAAAUAGCAUGACCAUCCCCUUGUUUCAUUUUGGUUAAGCAUAUUGAGCAGGUCUGCUGAGAGCAUAAAAUGAAGCAAGCAAGAUGAGUAAACAAAGGGUGAUACAAGCAUGAAGCAUGAGAUUUGGAAGGACUAUGCCCUUCCCUCUCCAUUAUCCAAGGGGCAAAGGAGAUUGCAAGUGGUUGUUUCCCCAGCAUCAAUUAGGUUUAGCUAUGGGUAGCUUUUCCUAUGGGCUAGGCAAGAAGAGAAGCUGAAUUAUCUAACAAAAGAGCAAACCAGAGAAGAAAAGGAAGUCAAACACGUGGCAUCCAACAUAUGGAGGGCACAAUAGGAAAUAAAAAUUAAAGAUUAUACUUUUGAGUGGUUAUCAAGAAAGUAUACAGUGCUGUAGUCUUUACGUAUAAACCGGGGAUUCUAUAACAACCAGAGAAAGAAUUGCAAGAACUAUCAUCAAAGAGGUUAAAAUCAUGAAUUUCUUUAUCAUAUUUGUUGGCCA